AAAGUAGAGGUUGCGUCGAUCAUAAGUAGGUAGGCCGUAUGUGGCAGGCACAGAUGAGGGCUUAGGAAAGGGAAAGACGCCGAAGAAGAAAGCGAACCCUGCGGCUGCUUCCUUCUGGGCAUAUGGUAAAGAAUCAUAUGACUGUCAUCCAGGUGGAUGGGGAGCUACUGA
rnacentral:ncRNA from 1 species